rnacentral:rRNA from 1 species
GUGGGGAAUUUUGGACAAUGGGCGCAAGCCUGAUCCAGCAAUGCCGCGUGCAGGAAGAAGGCCUUCGGGUUGUAAACUGCUUUUGUACGGAACGAAACGGCUCUGGUUAAUACCCGGGGCUAAUGACGGUACCGUAAGAAUAAGCACCGGCUAACUACGUGCCAGCAGCCGCGGUAAUACGUAGGGUGCAAGCGUUAAUCGGAAUUACUGGGCGUAAAGCGUGCGCAGGCGGUUUUGUAAGACAGGCGUGAAAUCCCCGGGCUCAACCUGGGAAUGGCGCUUGUGACUGCAAAGCUGGAGUGUGGCAGAGGGGGAUGGAAUUCCGCGUGUAGCAGUGAAAUGCGUAGAUAUGCGGAGGAACACCGAUGGCGAAGGCAAUCCCCUGGGCCUGCACUGACGCUCAUGCACGAAAGCGUGGGGAGCAAACAGGAUUAGAUACCCGAUGUAGUCC